rfam:Asian citrus Psyllid, Diaphorina citri - Florida Strain, whole genome shotgun sequence.
AGUGGUGGCAAUACCGCGCUGAAUACGACAGUUCCGGAUGAAUCACUGAAGUUAAGCAACGUUGCCCGUGGUUCGUAUCCGAAAGGGAGACCAUCUGGGACAGCCCGUGCUGCCGACU